UUGUUUGAAAACAAAGAUGAACAAUUUGAACAUGAACAAUUUGAAACCAUCAUUCUUGAGCUCUGAUGGGAGUUUGUCUGUUCAUGCUGUUACGUUAUCUACGUCCAUUAUUGUUCCUUUAUGAUUAAUUGUUCUUUAUUUGCUUUUUUGGUCACCUCGUAAUUACUAAUAAUUAAUUUGUUGUAAACAAAAUCUAUGAUAUUUCUUUUGAUCUAUAUGAAAACAAUCGGAUAACCUCAUAACCAUAUAUUUACAGAAUAUAAAAAAGCUUUGGUAUUGUUUUCAGAUUUCAUAAAAAAAGUGUGCCUUUAAAGAUAGCAGUCAAUAUUAAUGAAAUUACACAAUAGCAACAAUCUUUGUUUUACUCUAAAAAUAUGAGAACUUUUGUUGUUGGCUAGAAUCCAUUUUUACUAGUCAAGUAAUACGUAAAUGGCUAAAUGCUACUAGUUAGUUGCCAAAAAUUUAGAUACUAAUAGGAAAAAUGCUUUUUGCAAGUUACUAAAUUAUAUAUUUACUUAAGAAAAUACAUUUCUCAAUAUUUUUUAUUUUAUUUUAUUCCACCAUCACACCUGUACUCUUUUGGAAAGAGUGUUCUUCUAUCACUUUCAGUCAUAUUUUUUUUGGGUUAAGUUGCAAACUACUCACUUUCCAAAACUUAAUUAUGAAAUAGGGCAGGUUACUAUUUAUAAUUGGAGAUUUAGCCACUUCCUUAUGACCCCACAAAUCAGAAAAUCAAUUAUACCCCAUGGUAACAACUUUAUUUACCAACAUGCCACUAUUAUGACAUGUAGAAGAGAGGGUAAGAGAGAAAUGUGGGUGAGAUUUUUUAUUUAAUUUUCUUUUUCUUUCUUUACUACAUUUCAUUCUUUCAAAGAUUAAUAAUUAAAAUGUUCAUUUGUAAAUUUUAUUUUUCUAAAAUUGAUCAUAUAAAUAAAAAUCUAUGUUUUUUUAUCUAUCAUUUGAUAUGCAUUUUGUUUAUUGAUUUUUAAUUUUUAUAUUACAGAACACUGUACAUAUAAUAACUAUACAAAUAUAGACCACUGUAACGAUAUAAACUACUGUACAGAUAUAGACCACUGUACAGAAUGAUGCAUUUAUAAAGAAAAAAUAUUAGUUCGUAUAAUAGUAAAUUAUGAUUUCGUUAAACACAUGCAUCAUUCUGUACAAUGCUCUAUAUCUGUACAGUGGUGUAUAUCUGUACAAUAGUCUACGUAUGUACAUUUGUCUAUAUAUAUACAGUAGUAUAUAUCUAAGAAAAUUUCAAAAACGUAUUAGUUUCCGAACAAAUAUCUUUCUGUACAAAUGCAUCAUUUUGUAUUGUGGUUUAUAUCUGUAGAGUAAUUGAUAUCUGUACAGUAGUGUAUAUCUGUACAGUGGUGUAUAUCUAUGUAAAUAUUAUUUGUAUAGUAUUCAAUAGUAUAAAAUUUAAAAAUCAUUAAACAAAAUGCAUAUUAAAUGAUAGAGAAAAAGACAUAGAUUUUUAUUUAUAUGAUCAAUUUUAGAAAAAUAAAAUUUAAAACUAAGCAUUUUAAUUACUAAACUUUGAGGGAAUGAAAUAUAAUAAAGAAAGAAAAUAAAAAUUUAAAAAAAAAACUGACACACAUCACACAUCUCUCAGACGCUUUAUCUAUUCCUCUUUCUUUCUCUCCUCAGCCAAAGAGGUUCCUUGAUAAUUUUCAAAAUUCUUCCACUAUCCCACCUCUACUUCUAUUAGCCACCUUAUACACAUGAGAAACCCGGACUAACCAGUCCUUUGAGAGGAAGCCAUGGCACAAACGUACCAGGAAUGCCAGCGGAUGCGCCUCGCUCAUCACUUUCAGUCAUAUUGAAAAACAAAGACAUUUUUUUGUUCUUUCCUUUAUUGAUACACUAAAUAAAUUUCCCACUUUAAUUAAUAAACUAA
rnacentral:sRNA from 1 species